UACGUAGGGAGCAAGCGUUGUCCGGAAUCAUUGGGCGUAAAGCGCGCGUAGGCGGCCCUGUAAGUCCGCUGUGAAAGUCAAAGGCUCAACCUUUGAAAGCCGGUGGAUACUGCAGGGCUAGAGUCCGGAAGAGGCGAGUGGAAUUCCUGGUGUAGCGGUGGAAUGCGCAGAUAUCAGGAGGAACACCAAUAGCGAAGGCAGCUCGCUGGGACGGUACUGACGCUAAGGCGCGAAAGCAUGGGGAGCGAACAGG
rnacentral:rRNA from 1 species